GCACUUUUGCGUCGCAAUGGUUCCCGCUGGGGCUCUCCGCCCGGGGAUUAAAAGGGAAUGCCGUGCGAUUCGGCAACAGUUCCCGCUGCUGUAAGUCCCGCCCGCAAGGGCCGGUGCUCUCCGCACAAGCCACUAUUCUGUCACAGCGACAGGACGGGAAGGCGCGGAGAGCGGGACAAGUCAGAAGACCUGCCGCUGCGACAUAGAUUUU
rnacentral:ncRNA from 2 species